AAAGCUGUGCUCGGCCGUGGGAUGGGGUCGCGUCCUAUCAGCUUGUUGGCGGGGUGAGGGCUCCACCAAGGCUUCGACGGGUAGCCGGCCUGAGAGGGCGACCGGCCACAUUGGGACUGAGAUACGGCCCAGACUCCUACGGGAGGCAGCAGUGGGGAAUAUUGCACAAUGGGCGCAAGCCUUAUGCAGCGACGCCGCGUGAG
rnacentral:rRNA from 1 species